AUACGUAGGGUGCAAGCGUUAAUCGGAAUUACUGGGCGUAAAGCGUGCGCAGGCGGUUUUGGAAGACAGUGGUGAAAUCCCCGGGGUCAACCUGGGAACUGCCAUUGUGACUGCAAGGCUGGAGGGCGGCAGAGGGGGAUGGAAUUCCGCGUGUAGCAGUGACAUGCGUAGAUAUGCGGAGGAACACCGAUGGCGAAGGCGAUCCCCUGGGCCUGCACUGACGCUCAUGCACGAAAGCGUGGGGAGCAAACAGGAUUAGAUACCCUGGUAGUCCACGCCCUAAACGAUGUCAACUGGUUGUUGGGUCUUCAUUGACUCAGUAACGAAGCUAACGCGUGAAGUUGACCGCCUGGGGAGUACGGCCACAAGGUUGAAACUUAAAGGAAUUGACGGGG
rnacentral:rRNA from 1 species